CAGCCCGUGUGUGCACAUGGCAGCAUCUGAUGACUGUGUGAAAGGUGUGGACACACCUGAGCAUCACCAUGUUACAUGAAUGGCAGAAAUGAAUCACCUUGCUCCCACAAAAGGAACAUACCUGCCCUAGACUUAUUUCAGGUGGCUCAUAAGCAUGAUUUCCUGCAUGUGUUGCACUUGCUCAUUGAAACAUGUGCCAGGAUCAAGUUGAAGAAGGAAACCACACCUCCAGAUGCAGCAACCAGGACAUCCUGGACACGGCCCACAAUCGGGGUGUGGAGACACGGUGCCGGGCAAUCACACAGCAGGAAGUGCAGUGACGACUACAGUACCAGGAACAGAACUUACAGGUGCCGGGCAAUCACACAGCAGGAAGUGCAGUGACGACUACAGUACCAAGAAUGCAACUUACAACACAGCUUUGGCUUUGCAGUCCAAAAAAAACCCUUAUUCACUAAGGAAUGAAAACAGCAUGUCACGUCACGUCAUGUCAUGUCAGGUCCGAUGAGGGCACCUUGGCAGCAGCACACUGGAUCACUUCAACCGCCUCUCUGACCCAAAACAACACACCCCUCCUCACUGACCAAUCACAAAGCCCCACUCAUUAGUCAACUUGUUGGGAGGGAAUUACCUGACCUUGCCAUUCUUCUUCAAACAUGUACGUGAAAUGUAUGUCAAAGGACAAAAACACUUUAACACUUGAGGUGACUAAACUCUGCAAGGAGAUACUUGAAAUUGUACACCUUGAAGUCCAGAUGAAACUAUUUUUAUUUACAAAUAUUAAACUGAGUCGGGUAAAUUCCCUGGGUCACUGGUUCUAAAACUUUUUCACCAAGUACCACCUCAGAAACAACUUGACCCGCCAAGUACCAGCCUAAUGACAACAUUAAAUACAGUAGUGUAGUAGACCUAAGUAUUCAUUAAGUACCACCAUCAUGACAACAUUAAAUACAGUAGUGUAGUAGACCUAAGUAUUCAUUAAGUGCCAGCCUAAUGACAACAUUAAAUACAGUAGUGUAGUAGACCUAAGUAUUCAUUAAGUACCAGCCUAAUGACAACAUUAAAUACAGUAGUGUAGUAGACCUAAGUAUUCAUUAAAUGCCAGCCUAAUGAAAACAUUAAAUACAGUAGUGUAGUAGACCUAAGUAUUCAUUAAAUGCCAGCCUAAUGACAACAUUAAAUACAGUAGUGUAGUAGACCUAAGUAUUCAUUAAGUACCACCAU